rnacentral:rRNA from 1 species
GAAUUCACUAGUGAUUUCUGGUUGAUCCUGCCAGACCUGACUGCUAUCGGAUUGGUACUAAGCCAUGCGAGUCAUUGUAGCAAUACAAGGCGGACGGCUCAGUAACACGUAGUCAACCUAACUCGUGGACGUGGAUAACCUCGGGAAACUGAGAAUAAACCACGAUAGAUCAUAAUGUCUGGAAUGGCUUAUGGUCCAAACAGUUUACUGCCAUGGGAUGGGACUGCGGCCUAUCAGCUUGUUGGUGAGGUAAUGGCCCACCAAGGCGAUUACAGGUACGGGCUCUGAGAGGAGAAGCCCGGAGAUGGGUACUGAGACACGGACCCAGGCCCUAUGGGGCGCAGCAGGCGAGAAACCUUAGCAAUGUGCGAAAGCACGACUGGGUCAGUCCGAGUGAUUUCUGAUAAAGGAAUCUUUUACUUGUCCUAAAAACACAGGUGAAUAAGGGGUGGGUAAGUCUGGUGUCAGCCGCCGCGGUAAUACCAGCACCUCGAGUGGUCAGGACGUUUAUUGGGCCUAAAGCAUCCGUAGCCGGCUCUGCAAGUCUUCGGUUAAAUCCACCUGCUCAACAGAUGGGCUGCUGGAGAUACUACAGAGCUAGGGAGUGGGAGAGGCAGACGGUAUUCAGUGGGUAGGGGUAAAAUCCUCUGAUCCAUUGAGGACCACCAGUGGCGAAGGCGGUCUGCCAGAACACGUUCGACGGUGAGGGAUGAAAGCUGGGGGAGCAACCGGAUUAGAUACCCGGGUAGUCCCAGCUGUAAACGAUGCAAACUCGGUGAUGCAUUGGCUUAUGGCCAAUGCAGUGCCGCAGGGAAGCCGUUAAGUUUGCCGCCUGGGAAGUACGGACGCAAGUCUGAAACUUAAAGGAAUUGGCGGGGGAGCACCACAAGGGGUGAAGCCUGCGGUUCAAUUGGAUUCAACGCCGGAAAUCGAAUUCCCGCGGCC